ACAGUGAGAGGAACGGCGCCGGAUACAGGAGACGGGAAGAAACAAGCCGAUUAUGUUCGCGUUAAUUAGGAGGUUGGAAGAUGUAAAAUUCUCAAUUCUGCCAACUGAACAUAUACGAGAUUUUAAUGAGGAUGAAUAAUUAGCCGGCAUGGAGGAAACGGACCUUUAUUUGGUGGAGUGGCGACAAGGAGCCAAAAGGCGGGUGGCCGGUCUAUGAAGCCUCCAUCAUCAAGCUAGCAGCCCAUGAAAUCGAACGCAGAUCUUCCUGAUGUGAGAUUUACAUAAAUAUGUCAAAGUCUCAACCUCAUGCUGCCCUCCCCCAUCCUCCUAAACCUGUGGAUACAAAUGCAGAUUUCCUUAAUGUUCAAUGGUGCGUGUUCUUCUAAUGGCCGCCUUCCCACUGGAGGUUUUGAUCCACAGCAAUUUAAAAGGAGGACAAAGCAAAACGGACAUCGGCGCAGAGUGAAGAACUGCCCUUCAUAAGGACACUAUGACAGCCAUAUAUAUGGCGGUAAGGAA